rnacentral:rRNA from 1 species
GAUGAACGCUGGCGGCGUGCCUAAUACAUGCAAGUCGAGCGAACAGACGAGGAGCUUGCUCCUCUGACGUUAGCGGCGGACGGGUGAGUAACACGUGGAUAACCUACCUAUAAGACUGGGAUAACUUCGGGAAACCGGAGCUAAUACCGGAUAAUAUAUUGAACCGCAUGGUUCAAUAGUGAAAGACGGUUUUGCUGUCACUUAUAGAUGGAUCCGCGCCGCAUUAGCUAGUUGGUAAGGUAACGGCUUACCAAGGCAACGAUGCGUAGCCGACCUGAGAGGGUGAUCGGCCACACUGGAACUGAGACACGGUCCAGACUCCUACGGGAGGCAGCAGGAGGGAAUCUUCCGCAAUGGGCGAAAGCCUGACGGAGCAACGCCGCGUGAGUGAUGAAGGUCUUCGGAUCGUAAAACUCUGUUAUUAGGGAAGAACAAAUGUGUAAGUAACUAUGCACGUCUUGACGGUACCUAAUCAGAAAGCCACGGCUAACUAC